rnacentral:rRNA from 1 species
UACAGAGGGUGCGAGCGUUGUUCGGCAUUACUGGGCGUAAAGCGCGCGCAGGCGGCCCUUUAAGUCCGUCGGUCAAAUGCCGGGGCUCAACCCCGAUGCAUGCCGAGGAUACUGGAGGGCUGGAGACACGUAGAGGCAAGCGGAAUUCCGGGUGUAGCGGUGGAAUGCGUAGAGAUCCGGAAGAACACCGGAGGCGAAGGCGGCUUGCUGGGCGUGAUCUGACGCUGAGGCGCGAAAGCGUGGGGAGCGAACAGG